AUUGAACGCUAGCGGGAUGCCUUACACAUGCAAGUCGAACGGAGUGGCGAACGGGUGAGUAAUGUAUCGGAACGUGCCCAGGAGUGGGGGAUAACUACGCGAAAGCGUAGCUAAUACCGCAUACUAUUGGAGCGGCCGAUAUCGGAUUAGCUAGUUGGUUGGGUAACGGCUCACUAAGGCGACGAUCCGUAGCUGGUUUGAGAGGUCGACCAGCCACACUGGAACAGAGGCACAGCCAAGACUCCUACGGGAGGCAGCAGUGGGGAAUUUUGGACAAUGGGGGAAACCCUGAUCCCGCCAUCCCGCGUGUGCGAUGAAGGCUUUCGGGUUGUAAAGCACUUUUGGCAGGAAAGCGGUACCUGCAGAAUAAGCACCGGCUAACUACGUGCCAGCAGCCGCGGUAAUUC
rnacentral:rRNA from 1 species